rnacentral:rRNA from 1 species
CAGGACGAACGCUGGCGGCGUGCUUAACACAUGCAAGUCGAGCGAUGAAGCUUCUUCGGGAGUGGAUUAGCGGCGGACGGGUGAGUAACACGUGGGUAACCUGCCUCAUAGAGGGGAAUAGCCUUUCGAAAGGAAGAUUAAUACCGCAUAAGAUUGUAGUACCGCAUGGUACAGCAAUUAAAGGAGUAAUCCGCUAUGAGAUGGACCCGCGUCGCAUUAGCUAGUUGGUGAGGUAACGGCUCACCAAGGCGACGAUGCGUAGCCGACCUGAGAGGGUGAUCGGCCACAUUGGGACUGAGACACGGCCCAGACUCCUACGGGAGGCAGCAGGUGGGGAAUAUUGCACAAUGGGGGAAACCCUGAAUGCAGCAACGCCGCGUGAGUGAUGACGGCCUUCGGGUUGUAAAACUCUGUCUUUGGGGACGAUAAUGACGGUACCCAAGGAGGAAGCCACGGCUAACUACGUGCCAGCCGCCGC